rnacentral:rRNA from 1 species
CCUACGGGAGGCAGCAGUAAGGAAUAUUGGUCAAUGGAGGCAACUCUGAACCAGCCAUGCCGCGUGCAGGAAGACGGCCCUAUGGGUUGUAAACUGCUUUUGAACUAGAGAAAACCUUGGUACGUGUACCGAGUUGAUAGUAUAGUUAGAAUAAGCAUCGGCUAACUUCGUGCCAGCAGCCGCGGUAAGACGAAGGAUGCAAGCGUUAUCCGGAUUCAUUGGGUUUAAAGGGUGCGUAGGCGGACUGAUAAGUCAGUGGUGAAAUCUCUCAGCUUAACUGAGAAACUGCCAUUGAUACUGUUAGUCUAGAGUACAGAUGAUGUGGGCGGAAUAUGACAUGUAGUGGUGAAAUACUUAGAUAUGUCAUAGAACACCGAUUGCGAAGGCAGCUCACAAAACUGUAACUGACGCUGAGGCACGAAAGUGGNGGGAGUACAACAGAUAGUAUACCUACGUAGUCGCACCGUAACGAUAGAUACUCGUUGUUGUGAUAUGACAGUCAGCGACCGAACGACGAACGACGA